UAAAGAACUUACCUCGUCU
rnacentral:sRNA from 1 species